rnacentral:snoRNA from 1 species
ACGACGUUUGUAUAGCAAGCUUUGUCCCUGGCCUCUGGCUGGUUGUGGACAGCGUCCUGUAUAUUCCUACAUCUUCCCAGAGCCCUUUGGGCCAUUACUGGGGAGGUAAACCAUGCGGUGCACAUUA